GAAUGCAAGAAUGGAUUUAUGCUUACAGAUAGCUCUGAUGGGAGCUGUUUGAAUGUAGUGGUUGACGACAUCUGGACUUUAAUCUUACAAUUCUAAUUCCUUCGGUAGGCAUAUAGUGGAGCAAAUUUGAGCAUUUCAUCCCUUCAAUAUAUUGUCCUUCAUUAUCCUUGAAAUUCAAAGACAAUAAGGACAUUGGCAGACUAUGCCCCUUCUUGGCAGAUCAGUUUUAGCUAAAUCUAGGCAGUCAACAUCAAGGCAGAUGUCACAAUGACGACCCUGGGAAGAUUUCAAAAAAUAUUGGUGGCUGACCUACAGAGAGAUAUUGUCACAAUAGGAUGCCAAAGCCAUCUUACAACUUAAAAAAGGCUGACAAGGUUUAUUAUCUAUUAUCAAUUUCCUGCUUCUGUAUGCUUCAGUUUCUGUGAGGUCUAGCCAAUUGAAGGGUUAUUGUGGACUCAUUUUUUGAGGGACAUAUUCUGUGAAGGUGUAGGAGAAUGUCAACUCUUUGAGAAAUGACCUGAACCUCUUGUCCUAGUCUUUAAAAUGCAGCAGAAUCUAAGAUAUUCCAGUGGAUUUUUUUUCUGUGAACCCAUGGGAAAUUUGGGUUUUAAGGAGUGAUGUGCAGGAGGCGAUAAUGGUGGCAUUGCCAAGAGAAAGAGAGAGAGAGAGAGAGAGAGAGGAAUGGAGAGCAGCUCUACAAGGGUGAAAAGUGGGAGAGGACCAUGGAGAGGUCUUAACUCGAGGUAUAAAUUGCUUAAAACAAA